UACAGAAGCAAGAUGUUAAAAAAAUAGGGUCCACCGUAAUAAUACAACCAGUAAAUACAAUUUUAAAAAAAAGCAAAUAUCAGCAGUAAAAGACAAUAAAAUUUAUAGUAUUUUUUAUUUUAAAAUUCAGAUACUGAUAUACAGAUUAAAAGUUAGGCCUGCAGUAUAUCAUUGUUAACCUUCUGAUAAAAAAAUCAACAGCAAAAGAAGAUGUUUAAAAUAAAGUUCAUGGUUGUGAAUAAAAUUGAUUUCAAUAAUCUUUUUUAAUUAUUAUUUUAAAACAACUUUAUGUUAUGUUUCACGCCAUAUUACCAGACCACCUUAAGUGGGUCCGCCUUAAAUUUUGAGUUUGUGUGAUCGCUGUUGAUUGGUUGCUGGUAAACUGUGUACAGACGUUUUAUGUUCGAAUUGCAGAGAAAAAAAUGUUUUCUGGUAGCAACAUUGUGCAGUAUGAGCGAACCAUUUCACCAAAAAAAAGGGGAAGCAAGGCAAGACGUGACUUCUGAUCAAACCUCCUCCUAAAGAAAGAAAGAGCGACAUCACAUUGCGGGAUGACGUCACCUGAAAAUGACGCUGCUGAGCUGUGUGCCGCGCGCUUUUUUUUUUCUUGCAGGAGACUUGUUGGCUUCGCUAACGGACGUAGUUUUGAACUCGUAUUAGCGCCAUUUAUAGCUGCUUGGACCAGCAUCUUCGGAAUUUGUAGACAUCCUGGCAACUUACAAUUAAUUCGAGGUGAGGUUUAAGGGUGGUGACACAGCUAAGACCCGAGAGUCUCUUUCAAGACACUGAAUUUGAGCAGAAACCAUAAGGAUACUCAAAGGACCCUGUGACUCUCAGGAAAUGCAUCAAAUGAGAGUGACAGGUGAAACCGUUUCAAGACAAUGGCAGGAAAAGCAUGCUGAAGAUUGAACCAAACCUUGGCUGGAAAUAUUUGAAGGGAUCUAGCCAGUCCACAAUGAAAGCUUCAUUGCCCCCCUGUGAGUCUUCUGGCAGAAAUGAUGGCGCAUGUAUUCUUUGGUUUUCCUAAACAUCACAUCCUGUUUAUACGAGGCUCUUCAAUUAAGUCUGCACCCAAAGAUUCAAUAAGAGAGGGUAUCCUGCCAGUCCAAAGUGAACUCCUGAUGGACAUUGAAGUACUCCUGCAGAGCUUGUAUCUUCGACACCAUGCGCAUUAGAAACUCCACUGAGUGCUUUCCUUCACCAAGGCAGGACCCAGUGACUCAUUACUGUUGAUCGGUCAGGGGCAGGUCAUUUUUUUGUUUCAUGUUUAUUCAUUUCUCCAUGGAUUACCAGCCAUAUAUAUAGACACAUGCUGUAUUCUCAAGAUCUAUGCUGUUUGGUAGGAAUAGAGAAAAUGAUAUGUUUAGUCUGUUUUCAAAUGGUAUGUCAAAUUUUCUCAUUGUUUAUCAGAAAUAUUCACUACCUUGGUUAUAUAUGAGCAUCUUUAGAUUUUUCUAUAUUUAGCGGUUGCAAAUGUAAAAUGUACGGUAAACUAUUUAUGUUCCUCAUAUUGUACUGUAUUUUUAGCAGAAAAAUACCGGCAGCUGUGGUUGCCAGGAAUUUACCGUAAAAUGUAUCUGGU